rnacentral:misc_RNA from 1 species
UGCUCCCAAAGAAAUGGCAUUGAACCCCGAACCUGAACAAAUGAUGUUGUAAACCCGUUCAAAUGUACAAUUUGUUCAGAUUCUACAAAAUUGGCAACAUACCCAUCAGGAUCAGCUCCUCUUCUCCACAUGCGAGUGCCAUUUCUCCUUGUGCAUCUCCUAGCGAACAGAGUAACUUCAAUUAUAUCUUUUCCAAUGGCUGCUUGGAAGUUCUGAAAGCUCCCUUGGACAACAGGAAGCAGGUAUGGAUCAAGCUUAUUAUCUAUGAGCACUUCCAACAUAUAAUUGUUC